rnacentral:lncRNA from 1 species
CCAAGAGGCCCCAAUCAAGACCCUGGGCAGUCAGCGCCCGGCUGCUCCUCUGCACAGCGGACGGUUCCCCAGCCCGCGCCCCCCAGUCUCCCUAAAAGCUGUGUGCGGUGUGCAGAUUCGAGCUCGAAUUCUCCGCGCUCUAUCACGCCCCUGUCCUAACUUGAAGGGCUACGAGAAGGGCAGGACGAGCGUCUAGACGGGCACGUCCCCUCAUGCAUGUGCGCGCCGCCGGGCACCAGCCCUUGGGCGAGUCCCAGCUUACUCCUCCUCCGGGGAAGGGGAAGCCUGGGCCACCGGGCUCCGCGACCAGCUAGCGACAGCUUUAGAUUUACAGAGAAGUCGAGCAGCUGCUACAGCGCUCCGGCGCCAGAAGCGUCCUGCCUUCGC